AUUGAACGCUGGCGGCAUGCCUUACACAUGCAAGUCGAACGGUAACAGGUUAAGCUGACGAGUGGCGAACGGGUGAGUAAUACAUCGGAACGUGCCCAGUAGUGGGGGAUAGCCCGGCGAAAGCCGGAUUAAUACCGCAUACGACCUAAGGGUGAAAGGGGGGGAUCGCAAGACCUCUCGCUAUUGGAGCGGCCGAUGUCAGAUUAGGUAGUUGGUGGGGUAAAGGCCCACCAAGCCGACGAUCUGUAGCUGGUCUGAGAGUACGACCAGCCACGCAGGGACGGAGACGCGGGCCAGACUCAUACGGGCGGCAGCAGUGGGGAAUUUUGGACAAUGGGCGCAAGCCUGAUCCAGCCAUGCCGCGUGCGGGAAAAAGGCCUUCGGGUUGUAAACCGCUUUUGUCAGGGAAGAAAUCCUUUGGGUUAAUACCUCGGGGGGAUGACGGUACCUGAAGAAUAAGCACCGGCUAACUACGUGCCAGCCGCCGCGGUAAGAC
rnacentral:rRNA from 1 species